UGCAGUCGAACGAUGAAGCCCUUCGGGGUGGAUUAGUGGCGAACGGGUGAGUAACACGUGGGCAAUCUGCCCUUCACUCUGGGACAAGCCUUGGAAACGAGGUCUAAUACCGGAUAACACUCCUGUCCUCCUGGACGGGGGUUAAAAGCUCCGGCGGUGAAGGAUGAGCCCGCGGCCUAUCAGCUUGUUGGUGAGGUAAUGGCUCACCAAGGCGACGACGGGUAGCCGGCCUGAGAGGGCGACCGGCCACACUGGGACUGAGACACGGCCCAGACUCCUACGGGAGGCAGCAGUGGGGAAUAUUGCACAAUGGGCGAAAGCCUGAUGCAGCGACGCCGCGUGAGGGAUGACGGCCUUCGGGUUGUAAACCUCUUUCAGCAGGGAAGAAGCGAAAGUGACGGUACCUGCAGAAGAAGCGCCGGCUAACUACGUGCCAGCAGCCGCGGUAAUACGUAGGGCGCAAGCGUUGUCCGGAAUUAUUGGGCGUAAAGAGCUCGUAGGCGGCUUGUCACGUCGAUUGUGAAAGCUCGGGGCUUAACCCCGAGUCUGCAGUCGAUACGGGCUAGCUAGAGUGUGGUAGGGGAGAUCGGAAUUCCUGGUGUAGCGGUGAAAUGCGCAGAUAUCAGGAGGAACACCGGUGGCGAAGGCGGAUCUCUGGGCCAUUACUGACGCUGAGGAGCGAAAGCGUGGGGAGCGAACAGGAUUAGAUACCCUGGUAGUCCACGCCGUAAACGGUGGGCACUAGGUGUGGGCAACAUUCCACGUUGUCCGCGCCGCAGCUAACGCAUUAAGUGCCCCGCCUGGGGAGUACGGCCGCAAGGCUAAAACUCAAA
rnacentral:rRNA from 1 species